rnacentral:rRNA from 1 species
GAUGAACGCUGGCGGCGUGCCUAAUACAUGCAAGUCGAGCGAACAGACGAGGAGCUUGCUCCUCUGACGUUAGCGGCGGACGGGUGAGUAACACGUGGAUAACCUACCUAUAAGACUGGGAUAACUUCGGGAAACCGGAGCUAAUACCGGAUAAUAUAUUGAACCGCAUGGUUCAAUAGUGAAAGACGGUUUUGCUGUCACUUAUAGAUGGAUCCGCGCCGCAUUAGCUAGUUGGUAAGGUAACGGCUUACCAAGGCGACGAUGCGUAGCCGACCUGAGAGGGUGAUCGGCCACACUGGAACUGAGACACGGUCCAGACUCCUACGGGAGGCAGCAGUAGGGAAUCUUACGCAAUGGGCGAAAGCCUGACGGAGCAACGCCGCGUGAGUGAUGAAGGUCUUCGGAUCGUAGAGCUCUGUUAUUAGGGAAGAACAAAUGUGUAAGUAACUAUGCACGUCUUGACGGUACCUAAUCAGAAAGCCACGGCUAACUACGUG